rnacentral:rRNA from 1 species
UACGUAGGGGGCAAGCGUUGUCCGGAAUCAUUGGGCGUAAAGAGCGUGUAGGCGGCCCGGUAAGUCCGCCGUGAAAGUCCAGGGCUCAACCCUGGAAAGCCGGUGGAUACUGCAGGGCUAGAGUCCGGAAGAGGCGAGUGGAAUUCCUGGUGUAGCGGUGAAAUGCGCAGAUAUCAGGAAGAACACCAAUGGCGAAGGCAGCUCUCUGGGACGGUACUGACGCUGAGACGCGAAAGCGUGGGGAUCAAACAGG